rnacentral:misc_RNA from 1 species
CAAAACAAAAUCAAGUAUGAAGCACACAAUAAAAUGUAAUAAUAGAAGAACAUUCUGGAUCCAAUCUGAAAUUUCUUAUUUAUCAUUUUAAACAUAGAAAAUAAACACUUUCCAAAUCAUUCUCUUGGUACUGUUCUGAAGGCUCUAAGUCCCAGCCACUUUCACCAGUGCCUUUUGGAUAGGGUGAGGUGGGGACAAAUUUGCAAACACCUUUGCCUUCAUGAUUGCAGAACCUUUUAGUUGGAUAAAGCAUGAAAGUGGAUCUAUCAGCUGUUGCAGUUUCUCGAUGUAAGGCAUCUUGUUCAGUAUGAUGUCUUGUAAAUUCUGUCGUGUAUCAACCUCCAUUUUGUGGUU